UACAAAUCCCGCCAUGUCCGCAUUGGAACUUACCUUUCGAGCAUACUUAGCGUUUUAAGAGCCGGGAAACAAAGAAAAUAUAAAGUAUGUCUGAACGUUCAGUCGAAUCUUAACGCUUGGUCAAUAAACAGUUGAAAAAAGGUUUAAGCGCUUUAACUAUUGGUGUGCGACGUGUUGUAAAUUUCAACUGCGUUGAGCUUUGAAAUACGUUUUCCAGUACAAGCAGUACUGGCAGUGCUUAGAUAUAGCGCGUUCCGGCUUAAGCAGCAAAGCUGCUUUGUGGUUUACAACCUAAAACGGAUUCGACAUCAUGUCAAACGCAACUCUCGAUAAAGACACGUUUUUCCGGCGUAUGAAGCGUCUUUACGCUGCGUGGAAGGAUGGCGAAGUCGGCACAGAUGAUAGUUUCAGCAAAAUGGAUUGCCUCGUCUCCGCCGUCGGUACGGACGAGGAUAUUGUCUAUAGCAAGUCCACAGCUCUUCAGACGUGGCUGCUUAGCUAUGAAUUGGCUGACACCAUCAUGAUCCUUGCUGAGGAUUCCAUUCAUUUUCUUGCCAGUAAGAAGAAAAUUGAAUUUCUGAGGAAGGUCGAGAAUCAAAAGACAGAAGACACAGGAGUCCCACCAGUGAAGCUAUUAGUACGUGACAGAAAUGAUGAGGAUAAAGCCAACUUUGCCAAACUCAUUGAUGUUAUUAAGGAUAGCAAAAAGGGCAAAACUUUAGGAGUAUUUUCAAAAGAAAAUUAUCCUGGAGCAUUCAUGGAUGCAUGGAGAGCAUCUCUCAAACCGGAAUCAUUUGAUACUGUUGAUGUAAGUGCCGCAACAGCUUACGUUAUGUGUCCAAAGGAAGAUUCAGAGAUUUUGACUAUCAAAAAAGCUUGCCUAGUUUCUGUAGAUGUCUUUACAAAGUAUUUAAAAGAUCAGAUCAUGGAAAUCAUUGAUUCGGACAAGAAAGUAAAGCACUCAAAACUCGCAGAAGGAGUAGAUGCAGCUAUCUCAAAUAAGAAAUAUGUUACUGGCGUUGACGUCACUCAGGUUGAUAUGUGUUAUCCAGCCAUAAUUCAAAGUGGUGGAAAUUAUUCACUUAAAUUUAGUGUAAUCAGUGACAAAAACAUUGUUCAUUUUGGAGUUAUCAUUUGUUCACUGGGUGCGCGAUACAAGUCGUAUUGUUCGAACAUUGUGCGCACAUUGUUGGUUAAUCCUACAAAGGCCAUUGAGGACAACUACAAUUUCUUGCUCCAACUGGAGGAAGAAAUUUUAAAGAAACUCGUAGCUGGAACAAAAAUAAGUGAAAUUUACGAUACUGGCAUAAAAUUUGUCAAAAAUGAGAAGCCCAACAUGCUUGAUCACUUGACUAGAAAUUUUGGCUUCGCAAUGGGUAUAGAAUUCCGGGAGAGUUCCUUACUUAUUGGACCAAAAACGCAUGCUGUUGUCAAAAAAGGCAUGGUUUUUAAUGUCAAUGUUGGUCUUUCUAAUCUCAAUAAUCCAGAAGCUACCGAUAAAGAAGGAAAGAACUAUGCACUGUUCAUCGGUGACACCGUUAUAGUGAAUGAGGGGCAACCAGCUACAGUUCUAACGCCGUCGAAGAAGAAAGUGAAGAAUAUUGGUAUCUACUUAAAGGACGAUGAGGAGGAGGAAGAGGAGGGUAGUGGGAAAGAAAAUGAACCAAAGCCAGAACCGAUCCUGGGUCGUGGAAAGAGAACGGCUGUUAUAGAAUCCAAACUUAGAACAGAACACAGUUCCGAAGAGAAAAGAAAACAACAUCAAAAGGAAUUAGCCCAACAACUUAAUGAAAUUGCUAAGGCUAGAUUAGCUCAACAGUCCGGUGGAAAGGAGCAGGAAAAAAUUCGAAAAUCUACAGUCUCUUACAAAAGUCUCAGUCAUAUGCCACGUGAGCCUGAAGUUAAGGAAUUGAAGCUCUACGUUGACAAAAAAUAUGAAACUGUAAUUCUACCAAUCUUUGGCGUUCCUGUACCCUUUCACAUAUCGACUAUCAAAAAUAUCUCACAGUCUGUCGAAGGGGACUAUACCUAUCUUAGAAUUAAUUUCUUCCAUCCUGGUGCAACUAUGGGACGUAAUGAGGGAGGCACUUAUCCACAGCCUGAUGCCACAUUUGUCAAGGAAGUAACGUAUCGGUCCACGAAUACCAAGGAACCUGGAGAAAUAUCAGCACCAUCUUCUAAUCUCAAUACAGCAUUCCGAUUGAUUAAGGAAGUCCAAAAAAAGUUUAAGAAUCGCGAAGCCGAGGAACGCGAAAAGGAGGAUCUUGUUAAGCAGGACACUCUUAUUCUCUCACAGAAUAAGGGUAAUCCUAAACUCAAGGAUCUUUACAUCAGGCCUAACAUUGUUACUAAAAGGAUGACUGGUGGUCUUGAGGCGCAUACUAAUGGAUUCCGAUACACUUCCGUCCGUGGUGAUAAAGUUGAUAUUCUUUACAACAACAUCAAGAAUGCCUUCUUCCAGCCUUGCGACGGAGAAAUGAUAAUUCUUUUACAUUUCCAUUUAAAGCACGCUAUCAUGUUUGGUAAGAAGAAACAUGUGGAUGUACAGUUCUACACGGAAGUCGGUGAAAUUACUACUGACUUGGGAAAACAUCAGCAUAUGCAUGACCGUGAUGAUCUUGCUGCUGAGCAGUCUGAGCGAGAAUUGAGGCAUAAACUGAAAACUGCGUUCAAGAGCUUCUGUGAAAAGGUUGAAGGAAUGACUAAACAAGAAAUUGAAUUCGACACUCCAUUCAGAGAAUUGGGCUUUCCCGGUGCUCCAUACCGCAGUACGGUCCUUUUGCAGCCGACCAGUGGAUGCCUUGUCAAUCUUACCGAAUGGCCACCAUUUGUCAUUACACUCGAAGACGUGGAAUUGGUACAUUUUGAGAGAGUCCAAUUUCAUCUGAAGAAUUUCGAUAUGAUUUUUGUCUUUAAAGACUAUCAUCGCAAAGUCGCUAUGGUCAAUGCUAUUCCAAUGAACAUGCUGGAUCACGUGAAGGAAUGGUUGAACUCGUGCGACAUUCGAUACUCUGAAGGUGUACAGUCUUUGAAUUGGACGAAAAUUAUGAAAACUAUUACGGACGAUCCUGAAGGUUUCUUCGAUAGUGGUGGUUGGACUUUUUUGGAUCCAGAGAGUGAUGCAGAAAAUGAAGAAGUUGAUGACGAGGAAGAAGAAGAGGAUGACGCUUACGAACCCUCUGAUAUGGAGAGCGAAGAAGAAUCUGAUGAUGAUUCUGAAUACUCCGAAGCUUCAGAAGAUUCCGAUAGCGAAGAAGAGGAAUUGGGCAGUUCUGAAGAGUCUGGUAAAGACUGGUCCGAUCUUGAGAGAGAAGCUGCGGAAGAAGACAAGGAGAGAUCAGAUGAGAGAUUCCGUGAUGAUUACAAUUCUACCGCUAACAAAAAGAAAUCCAGCAGAAGAGAGUCCCCGUCUCCGUCGAAGAACAGGCACAAUUCAAAACAUAAGAGCUCCUCCAGUUCAAAGAGUAAAAGUUCAUCGAGUGGCAAAGAAAGAAGAUCUUCAGACAAACACAGAACGGAUCGAUCACGGAGUGGGGGUUCACACAAGAAAGUGUCUCCUUCCAAAUCGUCCAGACACAGUCCAAAAAAGAGCGACAGACACAAGUCCUCCCAUUCGUCGUCGAGUUCGAAAAAGCGGUCUCGCGAGGAUAGUUCCGACAGACGUGAUCGUAGCUCUAAAAAGUCCAGGAAAUAAGUGAUACCACGUUAUUAUAUGGACUUGGUGAAGUGCACCACACGUUUCAAGAAGACAAAACGAAAAUGCCAACAAAACAGUAAAAAGAAGAUGAUACCCAUAACGGAAGGAGUGAUCAUUCAACAUCAUUUGGUUCGUCGAACAGAUUUAACGAAGUACCAAGGAUUCACGACUGGAUUUUCAAUGAUUUAUUUUAUGAAAGUGAAAAAUCAUAGACGGUACAUCAAGGUGUAAUGUCGCUGUCCCUAAUAAAUAUUCUACGAGUUAAGAAUCAAGUAUGUCAGUUUCGGCCUAUCUGGUCGACCUGACUUUGAAGAUUGUUCACGACUUCCGGUGGGACGUGCUCGCCAAGAAUUUCGAAGAGAUUGAUCCUCUGGUCGCCGGGAAUCGAUUCAUAAGCUGCCAACUCAAUUCCUUCUUGGACUUUUUGGAUUGUUGCGUCCUUAGGUAUCAGAUAUGUAUUUUGGGCCUGUCGAAUUGCCUCGUUACUAAAUAUCUGGCCAUCCUUUUGCGGAAAAGCUAUUGAUACUCCGAUCAGCAUCAUCAUUACAGACAGGACGUAGGCGUUCAUCUAGAAUUAUAAGAUACUUUGAGCUUAAAUUAUACUAUUGAUUAUCAAACAUAAUUUUCUUUCUCGUUUUGUAAUAUUUUUAUAUUGGCAAAUAAACAAAGUAGAUACUUAGCUUUAUAAUUACGUUAACUAUUUGUUAUUAAUUAUAACACGUUACCGAGUUAUCAGUUAAUCUAGUUAAGAAGUUAAGAUACUUCCAUAUGAAUAUCUUAUUAUUUCUUUCUUGAUAAUUUUCUCCAUUUAUUUUUAAAUCAAUAACUCUUCUUGCUUACUCGAACUCGUUUAAUGGAUACAGAGAGCGAAAGCGUUUACUCGUCAGGGAUUAAGUAUUCUUUAAUUAAUCAAUAGCGGAGGCUACGUUUACUUUACAGUACUUAGGAUACUAUUUAUUGUAAAGUGGUUUAUCGGGGGUGAUGGAAAUACAAAUAAUUUCGAAAGUU